rnacentral:snoRNA from 1 species
AUACAUCUAUUUGACAGACCUGGAGCAGUUUAUUGUCUGCUAUCGAGGUUUCCACUGUAGAUGCAAGAAAAAAGUGUCCUUACGCUUUCUGUCUGUGUGAUUGUGGCAGCAAAGAUUGAAUAGAGGAAUACUGGG